rnacentral:ncRNA from 1 species
UAUAAAAAAUAUAAAUAAAAAUAUUUCAUAUAUAUAAAUUUGAUUUUAGUUAAAAAUUUGUUUUAUUUUUAAUUUAAAUGUAAGAUAUUGACUUAAUGAUUUAUUUGGCAAUAAAUAAUAUUAUAAAUAAAAGAAAUUUUGAUAUAGAAAUAAAUAUAUUAUGGGAUAAGUUUGUGCCAGCAUCUGCGGUUAUACAAAGUUAUAAAAAUUAAUAAUAUUAGUUAUAGUUAAUGAUUUAAUUAAUUUAAUAUUUAUAUAAAUAGGUGAAAUUAUUAUAUAAAUUUAUUUUUAAUUUUAUUGAUUGAGGCUAAAAAAUUAAAUUAAUAAACUAGGAUUAGAUACCCUAUUAUUUUUAAUAAAUUUAUAAAGCUAGAGUAGUAAAAGUUAUAUUCUUAAAACUCAAAAAAUUUGGCAGUAUUUUAGUCUAAUUAGAGGAACUUGUUUUAUAAUCGAUAAUCCACGAUAAUAUAAUACUUUAUUUAAUAUUUAUAUAUCGUUGUUAUAAAAAAAUUUUAUAAGAAAAAAUUUUUAAAAAUUUUUAUAAUAAUUAAUUUCAGAUCAAGGUGUAGUUUAUAAUAAAGAAAAUAAUGAGUUACAAUAAUAAUUAAUUAUUAUGAAUUUUUAAUUUAAAAAUUAAAUUGAAAGUGGAUUUAGUAGUAAAUAUAUUGAAAUAAUUAUAUUGAUUUUAGCUCUAAAAUAUGUACACAUUGCCCGUCGCUCUCUUUAUAAAAGAGAUAAGUCGUAACAAAGUAGGUGUACUGGAAAGUGUACCUAGAAUU